GGUAAGGUGGCUGAGUAGGCGGUGGAUUGUAAAUCCACUUACGGGAGAAAUUCCCCCUUAUCA
rnacentral:tRNA from 1 species